CCAUAUGCAAUAAACAAGUUUUUGAGCAGUAAGAAUGAGAGAUGUAUGCAGAGUUUUACAAGAUAAAGCUGAACAAUCAUUAGAUACAACUCUAGUGCAGAAGAAGGAAGACCUAGGUCACAUCUAUAAAAAAGAAGAAGAAAACGUUAGGUCACAUCUAUAAAAAAGAAGAAGAAAACGUAUUCUCUGGUAAUCCCCCCACAGAUGUGAUGGCACUUAUAUAGGAUCCUUCUUUUCCCAUCAAUUGAAAGGUUACUUCCAGAUAAUGUCCAUCCAUUUUAUUUAAGUCUACAGAAACAAGUAAGAGCAUCAGAGAACAAAUGGUAAUGGAAUACUACCUGCAAUAGCAUGCUGUUUGUAUUCCAAGAUUAGUUACAAACUAGAUGCCACAGAAAACAACACAGCACCGAAAACUGAACCAUAACAUUCAAUCUUACGCACUUAUAACCACAUCAUUAAAAUGGCAGACCAGAAACAUAUAAUGCUAGAAUCUUGCGUCUCUCAAACAAAUUAUUUAGACCUUACAUUUGCCCCUAGCCUGAUACUAAAGCUGAAAACACAGCACUCUUGUGAAAAACUAGAUUUGAUAAGACACAUUCCAAGAAAACAUGAACCCAAGAGACAAUCUCCUCUUUGACAAGGUCAAAUGCUUGCCCUAAGAUGCCUGCCUGCAUAGGUUUCAAUGUAUUAAAAAGACUCUUCCAGCUUUUUUCUUCCUCUCCAGCAUGAUUUUCCUAAAUGUGAGUACGUUGUUACUUAAUGUGCUGCUGAGGGGGCCAAAUCAAUUAGUCAUUUUCAAUCUGGAUCACAAACUUUCAGCUUAUUCACGAUCAAUGCUUUAUAGGUAAAAUGAAGUAUAAAAAGUUUUAAAAAUGUACAAUGAUUCAAUAGUGUGAACAAACAAUAAGAUCUGAC
rnacentral:lncRNA from 1 species